CCGUUACGGCCCCCCCUGUCUGUCGCUGGGGAGGUGUUUAAUUUGGGGUAAAGCCCCACGAAAAUAAAACUUUUAUCUAAGUUUGCCUUUCUAAAAUUGUGUUAUUUUAGAAAUUUAAAUUAUUAAUUUAAUUUUUUCCUAGUCCCUUAUCCUAAAGAUGAGGAGACAUAGGUAGGUAGUUUUUAUUUAUAUAUUUUUAUUUUAGUAUAAAAAAUAAUAAUUUUUGCAUUAAAAAAACACUUAUAUUAAGCUAUUUAGUAUCUGUUAACCCAUUUAAGUAACAUCUCAAAAGUCAUAGCAAGGUAGCUUGUACUGGG
rnacentral:rRNA from 1 species